rnacentral:rRNA from 1 species
GUGGGGAAUCUUGCGCAAUGGGCGAAAGCCUGACGCAGCGACGCCGCGUGGGGGAAGAAGGCCUUCGGGUUGUAAACCUCUUUCAGCAGGGACGAAGCCACUCGGGUUAAUAGCCCAGAGGGUGACGGUACCUGCAGAAGAAGCCCCGGCUAACUACGUGCCAGCAGCCGCGGUAAUACGUAGGGGGCAAGCGUUGUCCGGAUUUAUUGGGCGUAAAGAGCGUGUAGGCGGCCGCACAGGUCCGUUGUGAAAACUGGAGGCUUAACCUUCAGACGUCGAUGGAAACCGUGCGGCUAGAGUCCGGAAGAGGAGAAUGGAAUUCCUGGUGUAGCGGUGAAAUGCGCAGAUAUCAGGAAGAACACCCGUGGCUAAGGCGGUUCUCUAGUACGGUACUGACGCUGAGACGCGAAAGCGUGGGGAGCGAACAGGAUUAGAUACCCUGGUAGUCCACGCCGUAAACGAUGGGUGCUAGGUGUGGGGGGUGUCGACUCCCCCCGUGCCGAAGCUAACGCAUUAAGCACCCCGCCUGGGGAGUACGGCCGCAAGGC